CAUCACUCGAUCGCACGAUUCCUUACCAUUUCUUUGUCCGGUCCGUGUGAUUAUCAUCACUGGACGGAGAACUGAUAAGGGCCUGUGACGACCACGAGCCU
rnacentral:pre_miRNA from 1 species